AAGGGAUAACAGCGUAAUAAUUUUGGAUAGUUCAUAUAGAUAAAAUAGUUUGCGACCUCGAUGUUGGAUUAGGAUUCUUUUUUGGUGAAGAAGUUAAAGAAAGAAGUUUGUUCAACUUUUAAAUUCCUACAUGAUCUGAGUUCAGACCGGCGUAAGCCAGGUUGGUUUCUAUCUUAUAUAAAAUAGUUUAUUUUUAUAGUACGAAAGGAAUUAAAAAUUAAAAAUUUUUUAAUAAAAUUAUAUUUUAUAUUAA
rnacentral:rRNA from 1 species